AGUGAACGCUGGCGGUAGGCCUAACACAUGCAAGUCGAACGGCAGCACAGUAAGAGCUUGCUCUUAUGGGUGGCGAGUGGCGGACGGGUGAGGAAUGCAUCGGAAUCUACCUUUUCGUGGGGGAUAACUACUGGAAACGGUAGCUAAUACCGCAUAAUGUCGCAAGACCAAAGUGGGGGACCUUCGGGCCUCAUGCCAUCAGAUGUGCCCAGAUGGGAUUAGCUAGUAGGUGGGGUAACGGCUCACCUAGGCGACGAUCCCUAGCUGGUCUGAGAGGAUGACCAGCCACACUGGAACUGAGACACGGUCCAGACUCCUACGGGAGGCAGCAGUGGGGAAUAUUGCACAAUGGGCGCAAGCCUGAUGCAGCCAUGCCGCGUGUGUGAAGAAGGCCUUCGGGUUGUAAAGCACUUUCAGCGGGGAGGAAGGCGUUAAGGUUAAUAACCUUGGCGAUUGACGUUACCCGCAGAAGAAGCACCGGCUAACUCCGUGCCAGCAGCCGCGGUAAUACGGAGGGUGCAAGCGUUAAUCGGAAUUACUGGGCGUAAAGCGCACGCAGGCGGUCUGUCAAGUCGGAUGUGAAAUCCCCGGGCUCAACCUGGGAACUGCAUUCGAAACUGGCAGGCUAGAGUCUUGUAGAGGGGGGUAGAAUUCCAGGUGUAGCGGUGAAAUGCGUAGAGAUCUGGAGGAAUACCGGUGGCGAAGGCGGCCCCCUGGACAAAGACUGACGCUCAGGUGCGAAAGCGUGGGGAGCAAACAGGAUUAGAUACCCUGGUAGUCCACGCCGUAAACGAUGUCGAUUUGGAGGUUAUGCCCUUGAGGCGUGGCUUCCGGAGCUAACGCGUUAAAUCGACCGCCUGGGGAGUACGGCCGCAAGGUUAAAACUCAAAUGAAUUGACGGGGGCCCGCACAAGCGGUGGAGCAUGUGGUUUAAUUCGAUGCAACGCGAAGAACCUUACCUGGUCUUGACAUCCACAGAACUUUCCAGAGAUGGAUUGGUGCCUUCGGGAACUGUGAGACAGGUGCUGCAUGGCUGUCGUCAGCUCGUGUUGUGAAAUGUUGGGUUAAGUCCCGCAACGAGCGCAACCCUUAUCCUUUGUUGCCAGCGGUCCGGCCGGGAACUCAAAGGAGACUGCCAGUGAUAAACUGGAGGAAGGUGGGGAUGACGUCAAGUCAUCAUGGCCCUUACGACCAGGGCUACACACGUGCUACAAUGGCAUAUACAAAGAGAAGCGACCUCGCGAGAGCAAGCGGACCUCAUAAAGUAUGUCGUAGUCCGGAUUGGAGUCUGCAACUCGACUCCAUGAAGUCGGAAUCGCUAGUAAUCGUAGAUCAGAAUGCUACGGUGAAUACGUUCCCGGGCCUUGUACACACCGCCCGUCACGCCAUGGGAGUGGGUUGCAAAAGAAGUAGGUAGCUUAACCUUCGGGAGGGCGCUUACCACUUUGUGAUUCAUGACUGGGGUG
rnacentral:rRNA from 1 species